rnacentral:misc_RNA from 1 species
GAUGAAGAACGUAGCGAAAUGCGAUAAGUAAUGUGAAUUGCAGAAUUCAGUGAAUCAUCGAAUCUUUGAACGCACAUUGCGCCCGCUAGUAUUCUGGCGGGCAUGCCUGUCCGAGCGUCAUUUCAACCCUCAAGCCCCCGGGCUUGGUGUUGGGGAUCGGCGAGCCUCCGCGCCCGCCGUCCCCUAAAUCUAGUGGCGGUCUCGCUGUAGCUUCCUCUGCGUAGUAGCACACCUCGCACUGGGAAACAGCGCGGCCACGCCGUUAAACCCCCAACUUCUGAACGUUUGACCUCGGAUCAGAUAGGAAUACCCGCUGAACUUAAGCAUAUCAAUAAGCGGAGGA